GAUGAGCGCUGGCGGCGUGCCUAAUACAUGCAAGUCGAACGCUGAAGGAAGGAGCUUGCUCUUUCCGGAUGAGUUGCGAACGGGUGAGUAACGCGUAGGUAACCUGCCUGGUAGCGGGGGAUAACUAUUGGAAACGAUAGCUAAUACCGCAUAACAGUAGAUGUUGCAUGAUAUCUACUUAAAAGAUGCAAUUGCACCACUACCAGAUGGACCUGCGUUGUAUUAGCUAGUUGGUGAGGUAACGGCUCACCAAGGCGACGAUACAUAGCCGACCUGAGAGGGUGAUCGGCCAAACUGGGACUGAGACACGGCCCAGACUCCUACGGGAGGCAGCAGUAGGGAAUCUUCGGCAAUGGACGGAAGUCUGACCGAGCAACGCCGCGUGAGUGAAGAAGGUUUUCGGAUCGUAAAGCUCUGUUGUAAGAGAAGAACGAGUGUGAGAGUGGAAAGUUCACACUGUGACGGUAUCUUACCAGAAAGGGACGGCUAACUACGUG
rnacentral:rRNA from 1 species